UCCGUUUUCACAACGGCAGUCUCUCUAGAGUCCCCGGCCGAACCGAUGGUAACUAGAGACAAGGGUUUCGCUCGUUGAGGGACUUAACCCGACAUCUCACGACACGAGCUGACGACAGCCAUGCAACACCUGUCCACGUUUCACUCUUGCGAGUAGGGUAUCCUGCUUUCACAAGACCCAUCCGUGAAUUUCAAACCCGGGUAAGGUUCUUCGCGUUGCUUCGAAUUGAACCACAUGCUCCACCGCUUGUGUGAGCCCCCGUCAAUUCCUUUGAGUUUUAGCCUUGCGACCGUACUCCCCAGGCGGGGCACUUAACACAUUUGCUUCGGCAGAGAGAGUAUCGACACCCCCUCUACCCAGUGCCCAUCGUUUACAGCUAGGACUAC
rnacentral:misc_RNA from 1 species